rnacentral:rRNA from 1 species
GACAGAGGUGGCUAGCGUUGUUCGGUGUCACUGGGCUUAAAGCGUGUGCAGGCGGCUUUGUAAGCAUUUUGUGAAAGCCCCCGGCUCAACCGGGGAAUCGCUUGAUGGACUGCAAAGCUUGAGGCAAGUAGGGGUGCAUGGAACUCUUGGUGGAGCGGUGGAAUGCGUAGAUAUCAAGAGGAACGCCGGAGGUGAAGACGGUGCACUGGGCUUGCCCUGACGAUGAUACACGAAAGCGUGGGGAGCGAACGGG